rnacentral:tRNA from 1 species
GCCCACGUAGCUCAGCAGGAUAGAGCAGCAGUUUCCUAAACUGUUUGUCGGAGGUUCGAAUCCUCUCGUGGGUACUA